rnacentral:rRNA from 1 species
UACAGAGGGUGCGAGCGUUAAUCGGAAUUACUGGGCGUAAAGAGCGCGUAGGCGGUAAUGUAAGUCAGAUGUGAAAGACCUUGGCUUAACCAAGGAACUGCAUUUGAUACUGCAUAACUAGAGUAUGGUAGAGGAAAGUGGAAUUUCCGGUGUAGCGGUGAAAUGCGUAGAUACCGGAAGGAACACCAGUGGCGAAGGCGACUUUCUGGACCAAUACUGACGCUGAGGCGCGAAAGCGUGGGGAGCAAACAGG